rnacentral:rRNA from 1 species
AUUGAACGCUGGCGGCAGGCCUAACACAUGCAAGUCGAGCGGAUGAAGGGAGCUUGCUCCUGGAUUCAGCGGCGGACGGGUGAGUAAUUCCUAGGAAUCUGCCUGGUAUUUGGGGAUAACGUCCGGAAACGGGCGCUAAUACCGCAUACGUCCUGAGGGAGAAAGUGGGGGAUCUUCGGACCUCACGCUAUCAGAUGAGCCUAGGUCGGAUUAGCUAGUUGGUGGGGUAAAGGCCUACCAAGGCGACGAUCCGUAACUGGUCUGAGAGGAUGAUCAGUCACACUGGAACUGAGACACGGUCCAGACUCCUACGGGAGGCAGCAGUGGGGAAUAUUGGACAAAGGGCGAAAGCCUGAUCCAGCCAUGCCGCGUGUGUGAAGAAGGUCUUCGGAUUGUAAAGCACUUUAAGUUGGGAGGAAGGGCAGUAAGUUAAUACCUUGCUGUUUUGACGUUACCAACAGAAUAAGCACCGGCUAACUUCGUG